rnacentral:rRNA from 1 species
AUACGUAGGGUGCGAGCGUUGUCCGGAAUUACUGGGCGUAAAGAGCUCGUAGGUGGUUUGUCGCGUCGUCUGUGAAAUUCCGGGGCUUAACUCCGGGCGUGCAGGCGAUACGGGCACAACUUGAGUACUGUAGGGGAGAUUGGAAUUCCUGGUGUAGCGGUGAAAUGCGCAGAUAUCAGGAGGAACACCGGUGGCGAAGGCGGGUCUCUGGGCAGUAACUGACGCUGAGGAGCGAAAGCAUGGGUAGCGAACAGGAUUAGAUACCCUGGUAGUCCAUGCCGUAAACGGUGGGCGCUAGGUGUAGGGGUCUUCCACGACUUCUGUGCCGUAGCUAACGCAAUAAGCGCCCCGCCUGGGGAGUACGGCCGCAAGGCUAAAACUCAAAUGAAUUGACGGGG